rnacentral:rRNA from 1 species
GAUGAACGCUGGCGGCGUGCCUAAUACAUGCAAGUCGAGCGAACGGACGAGAAGCUUGCUUCUCUGAUGUUAGCGGCGGACGGGUGAGUAACACGUGGAUAACCUACCUAUAAGACUGGGAUAACUUCGGGAAACCGGAGCUAAUACCGGAUAAUAUUUUGAACCGCAUGGUUCAAAAGUGAAAGACGGUCUUGCUGUCACUUAUAGAUGGAUCCGCGCUGCAUUAGCUAGUUGGUAAGGUAACGGCUUACCAAGGCAACGAUGCAUAGCCGACCUGAGAGGGUGAUCGGCCACACUGGAACUGAGACACGGUCCAGACUCCUACGGGAGGCAGCAGUAGGGAAUCUUCCGCAAUGGGCGAAAGCCUGACGGAGCAACGCCGCGUGAGUGAUGAGGGUCUUCGGAUCGUAAAACCCUGUUAUUAGGGAAGAACAUAUGUGUAAGUAACUGUGCACAUCUUGACGGUACCUAAUCAGAAAGCCACGGCUAACUACGUG